rnacentral:lncRNA from 1 species
AUUCUAUAAAAAUGAUAAUCAUUAUUCGAAUUAUGAGAAUGCUAUAAAAAUAAUACUCAAUGAUGAAAAUGCUAUAAAAAUGAUAAUCAGUGUUCAAAUUAUGAGAAUGCUAGAACAUCAAAGUUUCAAACAUUAGAAUGCUAUAAAAUUAUCUUCAGUAUUCAAUGAUGAGAAUGCUGUAAAAAGGAUAUUCAAUGUCAAAAUUCUAAAAUGAGAAAGCUACACCAGAUCUAUUAAUUAUAGAUUUUGAAACUCAUAGUAGAUGCAUUCAGUAUGCAUUUAAGAAUGAGGAUGAAAAACUGCCUGUAUGUCAAUAUGCCAGUUCGGGAAUGUGGAGCAAGGGGUUUGCACAGAGAGGAUGAGAAUAGACAUCUCAUCUGCAGCCGGGUUGUGCAAGGUCUGCAUCAGGGGAUAGCCCAUGUGCUAGUAGAGUAGCAGGGGUCUAUCAAAACUGGCUCUGCAAAACAGGCAUGAGGAUGUAAUAAACCAUAUUCAGUAUGAUAAAAAAUUUUGAAUAAAUUUGUGAAGAUGCCAAUCUGUUGAUUUUUUAUGCAGUUAAUAAAUAAAUCCUUGGCUAGAAGUUCUCAUCAUUAAAUACAUGUUAUAUGCAGUUAAUAUAUUUAAUAGUCCUUUCGAAGAUUCUUAGGUGGUAUUGAAUGCUCAUGUAUACUGUAGUUUGUAUUUAAACUAAACAUUGUAUGUGUAAAUAAAAAUUUGAUAAGCAUGUAUAAUUUACAGUAAACAUGACUGUAAUCUGACAUAUUUAUAUAUUAAACAGUUACACUUUCAGUCCAUCAGUACUCCUCAACAGUUUAUAGAGCAAUAAAACCUAUGUGCAUACUGUCUCUUACUUUGAAU